rnacentral:rRNA from 1 species
UACGGAGGGUGCGAGCGUUGUCCGGAUUUAUUGGGUUUAAAGGGUGCGUAGGUGGCUGAUUAAGUCAGUGGUGAAAUACAGCCGCUCAACGGUUGAGGUGCCAUUGAUACUGAUUGGCUUGAAAUAAUUGGAGGCUGCCGGAAUGGAUGGUGUAGCGGUGAAAUGCAUAGAUAUCAUCCAGAACACCGAUUGCGAAGGCAGGUGGCUACGAUUUAUUUGACACUGAGGCACGAAAGCAUGGGGAGCAAACAGG